GAAGGCUCUUGCCCUGCUAGUUAUAAUGAAUUCAAUGGCUGUGUUUUAUUUUAGCUUAACGGGACACUGUGCAAGGCUUUUAGAAAUUUAGUGGCACGUAUGAAUGCCAUCAGGCCGUUAGGACACCAUUUGCCUAGCAAAUACAGUAUCUCCCUGGAUGCUGCUGAGGGUGGCAGCUCCCUGCUGCUGGCGCCAGCUCUGUUGUCAGCUCCACGAAGCCAUCAGACAGUUCCAGCUGCUUACUUUUUUCCACAUGCUGUUAAUAAUUCUGUCAGCCGGGAAAGCCACGUUUUGAUUUUAUCUGCACUCCAGACAGUUCGUGGAGAAAAAAAGAUUAUAUAGGGAUUGCUUAAAUGUAUUCUCUUAGAUGCUAAGGAUGCCUUGUCAGUGUCUGUACCUGAUGCUUAAUUAACAAAGAGAGAGAAAUGCUUGGGACUGGAUGGGGUUCGACUAGAGGGUGAUGUGCAUGCAAGGCUGCUGCUGACCCUCUACAGAAAAUCCUGGAGACCUCCCAGCUGAUGAGAAGAGUUAAUGCUAAAGGAUGAGGAUCUACAGGGAAGGAUGGCAGUCAGCUUCCCCUUUGGCGUCAAGGACUGCCAAGCACAUGGGAAUUCAUUUUCAGGCUCAUGAAGCUACCAGGCAGCAGGCAGGGUCAGGCCGGGUUCUGUCUUCUGUGCUGGGAUGGCUGGCUCUGGAGACAUGGGGACAGUCGUGGAU
rnacentral:lncRNA from 1 species